rnacentral:rRNA from 1 species
UACGAAGGGUGCAAGCGUCAAUCGGAAUUACUGGGCGUAAAGGGUGCGUAGGCGGUUCGUUAAGUCUGUCGUGAAAUCCCCGGGCUCAACCUGGGAAUGGCGAUGGAUACUGGCGAGCUAGAGUGUGUCAGAGGAUGGUGGAAUUCCCGGUGUAGCGGUGAAAUGCGUAGAGAUCGGGAGGAACAUCAGUGGCGAAGGCGGCCAUCUGGGACAACACUGACGCUGAAGCACGAAAGCGUGGGGAGCAAACAGG